GACGAACGCUGGCGGCGUGCUUAACACAUGCAAGUCGAGCGGUAAGGCCCUUUCGGGGGUACACGAGCGGCGAACGGGUGAGUAACACGUGGGUGACCUGCCCUCAGCUCUGGGAUAAGCCUGGGAAACCGGGUCUAAUACUGGAUAUGACUCCAUGACGCAUGUUGUGGGGUGGAAAGCCUUGUGCGGCUGAGGAUGGGCCCGCGGCCUAUCAGCUUGUUGGUGGGGUGANGGCCUACCAAGGCGACGACGGGUAGCCGGCCUGAGAGGGCGACCGGCCACACUGGGACUGAGACACGGCCCAGACUCCUACGGGAGGCAGCAGUGGGGAAUCUUGCGCAAUGGGCGAAAGCCUGACG
rnacentral:rRNA from 1 species